rnacentral:misc_RNA from 1 species
UUGAUAUUUGAUUCUUCAGACUAAAAAAGACAUCGUUGGAGCAUAAAGGCGACGCCGACAGGCGCCGAAGCACAUCUUGUGUUCCACAGUGGUUUGAGGGUAAGAAGAUCAAGGAUGAUCAUUCGUUAAUGAUCCCUCCGCAGGUUCACCUACGGAGA